AUGCGACCAGCUGGGAAAAUGCCCUCCCCCAUUUGGUUCUAGAAUCCUUAAUUUCCUGGCAACGGGGCUGCGGAACGUCCUCAGACGCCAAGGGGAAUGUCAUCCACUCUUGCCAGGAAUGAGGAGAAAAAGGGCAGCCGGCCAUCCCAACCCACAACCCCUGCAACCUCACUGGGCUGCAAUCUGAAGGUUUCUCGCUCUGAGGAAUUCCUGACACAGAUCAGCACGGAACUCACUGACGAGGCCUUGUUUGUUGCUGCCUACCACAUGAAUCCUGUGCCCAUCAAGGAAAAACAGACACAAGACCGAGGGACUCAGAUAUCCAAACAUGUGUUCUUCACCAAGACCCGAGGCACUGAUACCCGGUGAGUGAGGCUUCACAGGAGAUGCCCCUUUGUCCUGGGAGAAAGAUGAGGAGCCUGUAGAGGAGAGAGCCAGGGUUUGACAACAUCCCAGCAGGCUCCGACAGAAACCGUACCUGCACAAAGGCACAUCUCCUGCCAUCCCCUCGCAAGAAGGGAGCUCUCCCUAGCAACUUGACGUCUGGAGAAUGAUCCCAACUUUGGUGCUGCUCUUGGCCUCUCUUGCCCUCCCCUCACUCUGUCUCUCUGCAACAUGUCAAAGCUCCUCUUUCACUGCUCAUUCAACAGUUCGGUUCGGGGGGCAUUCCUGGUCGUUAGCAACAUCACCCCUGAAGCCUCCAAAGUGUUCCGGAACCAUCACACACCUUGCCACCCUCAACUGGCAAGGACACCCCCAGCAAUGAAAAGCUUUAAUAAAGAGACAGAG